AGCCGGGUAGGGUAGGGGACAAUCCUUUGGGCCUUUGGAGCCCGAGACUGCGGUUCGAAUCCGCGCCCGGCUA
rnacentral:tRNA from 2 species